AUUGAACGCUGGCGGCAGGCCUAACACAUGCAAGUCGAGCGGAGCGGCGGACGGGUGAGUAAUGUCUGGGAAACUGCCUGAUGGAGGGGGAUCACUACUGGAAACGGUAGCUAAUAACGAAUACCAUCAGAUAUGCCCCGAUGGGAUUAGCUAGUUGGUGGGGUAGAGGCCUACAAGGGCAACGAUCCGUAACUGGUCUGAGAGUAUGAUCAGUCACACUGGAACGGAGACACGGUCCAGACGCCUACGGGAGGCAGCAGUGGGGAAUAUUGGACAAUGGGCGAAAGCCUGAUCCAGCCAUGCCGGGUGUGUGAAGAAGGUCUUCGGAUUGUAAAGCACUUUAAGUUGGGAGGCGUUACCAACAGAAUAAGCACCGGCUAACUUCGUGCCAGCAGCCGCGGUAAUAC
rnacentral:rRNA from 1 species